rnacentral:rRNA from 1 species
CCUUUAAAGAAAGCGUAAUAGCUCACUAGUCGAGUCGGCCUGCGCGGAAGAUGUAACGGGGCUCAAACCACACACCGAAGCUGCGGGUGUCACGUAAGUGACGCGGUAGAGGAGCGUUCUGUAAGCCUGUGAAGGUGAGUUGAGAAGCUUGCUGGAGGUAUCAGAAGUGCGAAUGCUGACAUGAGUAACGACAAUGGGUGUGAAAAACACCCACGCCGAAAGACCAAGGGUUCCUGCGCAACGUUAAUCGACGCAGGGUUAGUCGGUUCCUAAGGCGAGGCUGAAAAGCGUAGUCGAUGGGAAACAGGUUAAUAUUCCUGUACUUCUGGUUACUGCGAUGGAGGGACGGAGAAGGCUAGGCCAGCUUGGCGUUGGUUGUCCAAGUUUAAGGUGGUAGGCUGAAAUCUUAGGUAAAUCCGGGGUUUCAAGGCCGAGAGCUGAUGACGAGUCGUCUUUUAGAUGACGAAGUGGUUGAUGCCAUGCUUCCAAGAAAAGCUUCUAAGCUUCAGGUAACCAGGAACCGUACCCCAAACCGACACAGGUGGUCGGGUAGAGAAUACCAAGGCGCUUGAGAGAACUCGGGUGAAGGAACUAGGCAAAAUGGCACCGUAACUUCGGGAGAAGGUGCGCCGGCUAGGGUGAAGGAUUUACUCCGUAAGCUCUGGCUGGUCGAAGAUACCAGGCCGCUGCGACUGUUUAUUAAAAACACAGCACUCUGCAAACACGAAAGUGGACGUAUAGGGUGUGACGCCUGCCCGGUGCCGGAAGGUUAAUUGAUGGGGUUAGCGCAAGCGAAGCUCUUGAUCGAAGCCCCGGUAAACGGCGGCCGUAACUAUAACGGUCCUAAGGUAGCGAAAUUCCUUGUCGGGUAAGUUCCGACCUGCACGAAUGGCGUAACGAUGGCGGCGCUGUCUCCACCCGAGACUCAGUGAAAUUGAAAUCGCUGUGAAGAUGCAGUGUAUCCGCGGCUAGACGGAAAGACCCCGUGAACCUUUACUGUAGCUUUGCACUGGACUUUGAGCCUGCUUGUGUAGGAUAGGUGGGAGGCUUUGAAGCGUGGACGCCAGUUCGCGUGGAGCCAUCCUUGAAAUACCACCCUGGCAUGCUUGAGGUUCUAACUCUGGUCCGU